CAGUCGACGGUAGCACAGAGAGCUUGCUCUCGGGUGACGAGUGGCGGACGGGUGAGUAAUGUCUGGGAAACUGCCUGAUGGAGGGGGAUAACUACUGGAAACGGUAGCUAAUACCGCAUAAUGUCCCAAGACCAAAGAGGGGGACCUUCGGGCCUCUUGCCAUCAGAUGUGCCCAGAUGGGAUUAGCUAGUAGGUGGGGUAACGGCUCACCUAGGCGACGAUCCCUAGCUGGUCUGAGAGGAUGACCAGCCACACUGGAACUGAGACACGGUCCAGACUCCUACGGGAGGCAGCAGUGGGGAAUAUUGCACAAUGGGCGCAAGCCUGAUGCAGCCAUGCCGCGUGUAUGAAGAAGGCCUUCGGGUUGUAAAGUACUUUCAGCGGGGAGGAAGGUGUUGUGGUUAAUAACCGCAGCAAUUGACGUUACCCGCAGAAGAAGCACCGGCUAACUCCGUGCCAGCAGCCGCGGUAAUACGGAGGGUGCAAGCGUUAAUCGGAAUUACUGGGCGUAAAGCGCACGCAGGCGGUCUGUCAAGUCGGAUGUGAAAUCCCCGGGCUCAACCUGGGAACUGCAUUCGAAACUGGCAGGCUGGAGUCUUGUAGAGGGGGGUAGAAUUCCAGGUGUAGCGCUGAAAUGCGUAGAGAUCUGGAGGAAUACCGGUGGCGAAGGCGGCCCCCUGGACACUGACUGACGCUCAUGUGCGAAAGCGUGGGGAGCACACAGGAUUAGAUACCCUGGUAGUCCACGGCGUACACGAUGUCGAUUUGGAGGUUGUGCCGUUGAGGCGUGGUCUUACUGCAGCUAGACGCGUAAAAUCGACCGUCCUGGGCGA
rnacentral:rRNA from 1 species